AGUCGACGGUGAAGCAGAGCUUGCUCUGUGGAUCAGUGGCGAACGGGUGAGUAACACGUGAGCAACCUGCCCCGGACUCUGGGAUAAGCGCUGGAAACGGCGUCUAAUACUGGAUACGAGACACCACCGCAUGGUGAGUGUCUGGAAAGAUUUUUCGGUCUGGGAUGGGCUCGCGGCCUAUCAGCUUGUUGGUGAGGUAAUGGCUCACCAAGGCGUCGACGGGUAGCCGGCCUGAGAGGGUGACCGGCCACACUGGGACUGAGACACGGCCCAGACUCCUACGGGAGGCAGCAGUGGGGAAUAUUGCACAAUGGGCGGAAGCCUGAUGCAGCAACGCCGCGUGAGGGACGACGGCCUUCGGGUUGUAAACCUCUUUUAGCAGGGAAGAAGCGAAAGUGACGGUACCUGCAGAAAAAGCGCCGGCUAACUACGUGCCAGCAGCCGCGGUAAUACGUAGGGCGCAAGCGUUAUCCGGAAUUAUUGGGCGUAAAGAGCUCGUAGGCGGUCUGUCGCGUCUGCUGUGAAAACCCGAGGCUCAACCUCGGGCCUGCAGUGGGUACGGGCAGACUAGAGUGCGGUAGGGGAGAUUGGAAUUCCUGGUGUAGCGGUGGAAUGCGCAGAUAUCAGGAGGAACACCGAUGGCGAAGGCA
rnacentral:rRNA from 1 species